rnacentral:lncRNA from 1 species
AUUCUACUUGGAGAGCUUCACCGUGACACACGAGUGUUCCUUCCCACCCCAGACCUUUCUCGCUUCCCCUGGCGCAAACACCGGCAACUCUCCGGCGCGCUGGAUUAACAGACGCUCGCCCCUCUCAACUCCCCUAAGCGAGGUCGAAGCUCCUCCGCGCGUGCCGCGGCACCACUCCCGCCUAACCCACCCUCCGGCAACACUCGCCCACCAGCUCCCCAGUCCACCGGUCUAAGGAAGACGUGCGCGCGCCCCGCACCCGAGCCCCGGAGCUGGGGUUCUGCAGGGAGGGAAAGGCUGCUCCAGGGCUCCCUCCUCCAUCUCACUCCAGGCCGGCUCGCCGCCCACCCUGCCUGCGGAUCCCAGUACUCGCUGGGAGCCGGCCCUGCGCCUUCCUAUCAUGAAGACACCAUCCUCGCAUACCCAGCCCAGAACCCCAGCUACCCUCCACCCUGUAGACACCUCGCGGUUCCGCAGGAGGCGCCACGCCGCCCCUCCCCCACACCGCUCCCCCAGUUCUCGGGCCCCCACCAGAAAGUGUGCGCUACACGCCGCCUCGGCCAUCCUCCGGGACGUCCCCACUUGUCCGCGGGAGGUUGACAUAAUCUGGUGUCAAGAAGUGGGACCAAAGUGAGCUCACCUUGAUGGAUCGGUGACUCCUGGAAUCACAUGAAGUUCCCACAUUGAGCCCCUUUGAGCUCUCCAAUCCUACAGCUCACCUUUUCUGUCAUGGUGAAUCUCCUCUCAGGUUCUUGAACUCCCUCAUUUUGGGCUGCCCACCUGUGAAGAAGAUUGAGGUGGAAUAAGAGCAAAACCUCAAGUGGGGCCAUUUUUGCUUCAGAAUGAAAUAGAAAAAGGCCACAGCUGAACUACAUUUUCUAGCAAUCCUCAGAAUAAGAUGUGGUCAUUGACUGAAUUCUGGACAAUGGAAUGGAGUAGAGUGAAAUACAUCACUCCUAGUGACAAGGAGGCACUCAAGCAUGAGUUACAACACAACCGACCUGGAAUACAGCUGAAAAGAUUGAAGCAACAGGUUCGCAGGGGAAGGCCUUUACAGCUUCUUUCGACUCUGACAUUUCAGGAUCAGCACAAUUCUCCCCUAUUUACUGCUGAAGCAAUCAACUGGGAUUAUACAAAAAAAUUAUUUGUAUUGAA